rnacentral:lncRNA from 1 species
CUUCUAUUAAUAAUUAUAUCAACAAACAUUAUGUGAUACAAUAUAAACAAUAUAUCACUCAAAACAAUAACAAAUAGGAGCAAUCAGUAUAUAUUUUCACUGAAAGUUCUCAAUUCAUAUAUAAUCAUUACAUAAAAACUUUCAGAAUCCAUUGAUCACAAUAGUUGUAAAUUAAUUGUGUGAUUACUGUACCAGGAAUUCAUCUAUAAGCUCCAGAGCCUGAGUUGCUCACAUGACAACUUUUCACUGUAUAUGGUCUACAUAUGUACCUAAACUAAUCUUAUAGAGACCCUACAUUUUUUUAAAGGUUAUAACCCUAUAGUUAUUGGGUAAUACUUGAUAGUACACAGUAAGGUCCUUAAAUUUGAAAAAAAAACCAACAUUGGUGUCCAAAUGAAAUCAAAGAAAUAAUUUAAUGAAUGUAUCAGUGUUUAGGUAUAAGGAGUUUCUCAAAAAUAUUAAAAGCUAUGAUUUUGAAAACUUAUUUCCUAAAGUGACGAUUCUCAAAACAGUUGUACCUGUCACAAUGAAAAUAAUUUCCUACAGAGCAAUCACUCUAAAAUAUUUAAAGCGGCUACUUUAAAAUAGUGCGCUACAGAGGAGAUUACUCCAAAAAUGAAUAAGGUUGCCAUGUAGAAAUACGUAUAUGGGAACUACUACAAAAUAUGCCAAUUAAAAAAAAAAUCUCCCCAUAUAUAGCUACUUAGACAUACGGAAACAAUUCUGUAUAUAUAAAAAAAAUAAAUAAUUAAAAUUCUGUUAUUACAUAACUCCAAAAGAGUAAAGACAGACAUCUUAAUAUAUGACAACACAAGUAAGUCAUAUUUAAUCGAUACAUUAUGCCUUGAUAAUGGUUACUUCAUAUCUUUAAAUUAGUUUUUGGAAAUUGUCCUGCAAAUCUAGGACACAAAUGAUAUAAAAAAGAUAUGAUUUACAACAUGUUGAACACAGGGAGAACAAAUUAAAGAAGGCACAAAAAUAUGUAAAAUAUGUCUUUAAAAUACAUGUCUUGAAAAACACAGAUAGUAAUUAUAGCAUUGACUAAUGAACAA